rnacentral:lncRNA from 1 species
CUUCAAUCCUAGACUCCGGCACUUCUUAAUUAUCAAGUGUCAACGUUCCCUUUCUAACUGAGAAGGAAAAGGAGGCCCCAGGGGACUUUGGGACUUGCCAUGGUGUGCGCUGCCUGGCUGUACCCUUUGCUUCACUAACUAUAACGUGAUGUUUUCCAUGUUGUGCAUAUAAGUGUGUUCCUGAGGGUUUCUCAGCCUCACGAUGAUGCCAGCAUCACAUACCCUCUCUGAGUCUCAGUUUCCUCUCUGUAAAAUGGAGGCCAUAAUAAUACCGACCUCAUAGGAAUCCAUGAGAAACAUUUAGCGUAGCAUAUAACUCAUAAACACUGAAUCGUCAUUAUCUAUUAGAAUUGUUGUGGUUGCAGCCACUGUUAUAAUUGGUGCUGCUGUCAUUACAAUUGGUGCUCAAGACAAAUUCAGUCCCAGUCUGCUCCAGUCCUGUAUCUAACAAUAGCCACUGAGUGCCUCGUGGCGCCAGGCACUGUUCUACAGACGAGAGAUACGGCAGUGACAGAGAGGACGUCUCACCUGUCAUGGAGCUGACAUCCUCAUCAGGGGGAGAAUCAACACAUAAGGAAACAGGGACAAGGCUUGACAGAAGAGACAGAAGAUGCAAGACAGACUCAGGAUACCUGUAUCUGCAUCCAGGCUCCGCCACUGACAGGUUAUUUGAUCUGAGACAAGUCACUCACCUCUAACAGCCUUGUUCCUCUCAUAUAAACUUGAAAGCAUAAUAAUAACUGCAUUAGAAUAAUAAUGAUUUACUUGACGUUAGGCUCAGAUAAGAGGAUGACUGAAAAUGCUCUGCAAACUGCAAUUUACUGUACAAAUGUUAAUUGCUCUGGUUGCUGUUGUUGUUUAUAGUAAGAGACUGAAUGACGCUGAAGAGAGAGAACAGUAGCUCCUAGAGGAAACUUUGAGGCCUACUAGGAGGAAGCCUGGGAAGGGAGAAAAGUAAGCAAAAAGGAGGAAAAAAAGGUUUUUUAGCUCCCUAGACACUGGGCAUCAGAGGGACAGCUCUCUUGGUUGCAGGGGAGGCUGAGGAAGCCCAGAGCCUGAAGGCAGCAGGAGAGGCUCUAGAGAGGCCAGAUUUCAGGGGGCCACACUGCCACUCAGGGGCUGAGGAUCAGACCAUUGGAACUGGGCACACCAGAUCAGAGUGUCCCACUCAGGGCCAAUCGCAGGCCUAGCCCAACUGUCCAGGACUCGCAUUCACAAUGGCCUCAAAUUAGACCUUUGAUGCUGUUUCCAGAUGAGUUUGUGCGUAGUCACGGAGAUACUGACAGAGUGAGAUGUUACUCACUCAGCUUUAAAUGUGUGUCUCAUCUUAAGCUGUGCCUUUCUCUAGUGCAUUGGGAAUUCAAGUUUUAUAAAUCCUUUGAUCAUAUUGUGGAUAUCGCAAUUAUAAAUUUUUUAAUAAAAAUAUUGAUUUGUUAAAUGUAAAUUUUUUUUUUUUUGAGAAAGAUUAGCCCUGAGCUAACAUCCACUGUCAAUCCUCCUCUUUGUGCUGAGGAAGACUGGCCUUAAGCUAACAUCCGUGCCCAUCUUCCUCCACUUUAUAUGUGAGACACCUGCUACAGCAUGGCUUGCCAAGCGGUGCAUAGGUCCACACCCAGGAUCCGAACCAGCGAACCCUGGGCCACUGAAGCAGAACAUGAAAACUUAACCACUGUACCACCAGGCCGGCCCAUAAAAUUUUUAAAGUAUAUCAUAAUUUUUAUGAAUCUAUUUGGCCUGUCUUCAUUUUUCACCGUAUCAGGAGCUUCUGAGAAGCCCCAGUCAAGGUCAGCAGAUCUAGAAAUCCAGCUCCCAUAUGGGACAUAGCUGGCAACACUCAUAUAUGCAUAGAUAUGCUUGUGUGUUACCUGAACCUUCCUGUAAUAACUCUUUGUGUUUGCAUAAUACUUUAAAAUUUACAAUGCAUUUCACAUACAUUCUCUCAUUGCUUCAAAACAAC